rnacentral:lncRNA from 1 species
GGCCAAAUCUCUGCUCCUUGAGUACAGGGACGACUCUUCCUCCCUCCUCCUGGGCCCCCCCCCCACUCCCAUGUGUGACUGUGUAUUUAAUGUUUGUUUUUUUUUUUAACGCGACAUUAAAAAGAUUCUUCACGUCUUGCUCAGCCUUUGAGAAAAGUUUCAGAUUCUUGUAUUUGCUUGUUUUAUAUAAAACUAUCCAGUGUUCUUUGUAUUUUUUUUUUCCUGUAUG